rnacentral:rRNA from 1 species
GACGAACGCUGGCGGCGUGCUUAAUACAUGCAAGUCGAACGCAGAAACUCUGGCUUGGUAGGUUGCACGAGUGGCGAACGGGUGAGUAACACAUGAGUAACCUACCCAUGAAGACUGGGAAAAUCUCUGGAAAUGGGGCCUAAUCCCGGUUAGGUAAUCAGAAGCCAGCUGCUGAUUAUUAAAGGUCGACAGCACUGGUGGAUUGGCCUGUGGGGCAUCAGUUAGUUGGUGAGGUGACGGCCCACGACGACGACGCUUAGUAGCCGGCCGGCGAGGGUGAGCGGUCAGAUUGUGACUGGGAAACUGGCGAGAGUGCUACGGGAGGGAGCAGUAGGGGAUGUUGGGGAAGGGAAUAUAGCCUGACGGGGCAACGCCGCGUGAGUCAUGGCGGCGUGCGGGUUGUAAGGCUCUGUUGUAAGAGAAGAACUGUAGAUAGAGAAUAUCUGAGUGACGGUAACUUAUCAGAAAGCCACGGCUAACUACGUG